CUGCCAGUGAACCAGGGCAGCUCAGAGAUGGAGGCCCGUGCGAAUGCCCUGUGCAACCGUCGCCUUCAUCCCAACCCCCGCCCCAGCCUACCCCGCCUCUCCCCCUUAAACAAGGAGGGUCUGGGCUUCGGCCCCAGCACAGAGAUGCUGUCACGGAGUCUCAAGGGGCUCGCAAGGAACCUGCCUGGCGAGGUGGGGAGCGAGAGGAGAGGAAGGGCAGGGCGGCGGGGAGAGCCGCUUUUCACAGGCUCAGUUGCUGGGAGAGAGAUAAUAUAGUUCUUGGCUGGAGAAUAGCACUGCAAAAUUCAGAGAAGUGUGAAUUUUAGAGGAUGGCUGUGUUUUGGUUCAUCUACUGUUGUGGAGAGUGUAAACUUGAUUCUUUCACAUGUGCGUGCAUACUGGCACACACACACACACAAAUCGGAACAAGCUCCCACCAAAGAGAAGCUGGGAAUCCAGGCUACUAACCUUCUGUAUUCUAAUCCACGGAAAAGAAUUGGAGCCUCCUGUCCUGUCUUCUUCACUGCGACCUGUAAUGUGUGCUGACCAGAUAGCAGAGAUUGCCCUCCAAGGACUCUGACUUUCUUCAGUUAGGACACAUGUCACACCCAUCGUUUGGCCUCCUCCUUCUCCUCUCAUUUUUAACUUUCAAUUUCCUGACAUGCCAUGUCACACACGUUUUGGGUGUGUCUCUGGAGAUUUGUUAAAGGAUUUGCUAAAGGACCCACAAUGUCAAUACAACAACAAUUGUAGGAGCACAUGCUGAAGCCGGAAUUGUGUGACUGCAACAACAAUCUCUUUAAACCUGCCCAUAUGCCCCAGAGAAUAAAAAGCCUUUUUACCUGUCGCUGAAAUGAUAUUGAGGUUGCCAUUAGGUGUGCCUCUUUGGGGAGAGCAUUCCAGAGACUGGGGAUGAUUACAGAAAAGCCCCAUUCCAUGGACGCAAGCCAGCCCCUGUCCUUCUUUUGGAGCCAGGACAUGGAGAAGGGCUUCUGCAGGCUGCAGGGUCUGGGCUGAUUCAUGCAGGAAGAGACAGCUCUUGGGGUACUGUGGUCCUAUAUAGGCCUUUAAAGGUCAGAAUAAGCAUUUGAAUUGAACCCAGAAACUAAUUGGCAGCCAGCACAGUUGGCCCAGAACUAGUAUUAUGUACUCACUAGGGAUGGAAGGAUCUGGCCAUUUCAGUUAUCUCAGGUGCUCAUUUUUUCCAGUCUUAAAUCCAGUUUUUCACAUUUCU